AUGGCCUGGAUCAGACAGGCUCCUGGAAAAGGACUGGAGUGGAUUGCUACUAUCAGUAGCGGUGGUGGUGGCAGCACUUACUACUCUCAGUCAGUUCAAGGUGCGAAGUGUGAACAGUUGACACAACCAGCCUCUGUGACUGUGCAGCCAGGUCAACGUCUGACCAUCACCUGUCAGGUCUCUUAUUCUGUUGACAACUACUACACAGCUUGGAUCAGACAGCCUGCAGGGAAGGGACUGGAGUGGAUUAGUAGUGACACAGACGUCAAAGAUUCGCUAAAGAACAAGUUCAGUAUCGACUUAGACUCUUCCAGCAACACAGUGACUCUAAACGGACAGAAUGUGCAGCCUGAAGACACUGCUGUGUAUUACUGUGCCAGAGACCCACAAUAA